CCUGAUUGCUCAUUUAGAGACCAAGGGAAUUGAAGCAACCCUUUCCCAUAUGAAAAAACACAGUUUAACUUUUUCCUCAUUAUUAGGCGUUGGCAAGGCAGACACCAGCCAAUUAUGCUACAAAAAGUACAUCAGCAUCCCCCCAGCCCGACGUUGCCAGGUGACAGGCACAACAAGCUACCAGCUGUGUGCUGCAGUGCUACAGCUGACCAACCACGGUCUACUUCUGUCCUGUGCACGAGCCGAGCAUCCACUAACCCACCACAUUAAUUUGAUUUAUCAACUCCCAUCCAGCACUACGUGCUUUCAUGGAGGAAGCAAGGAUGGCAGCCCAAGAUGUGCAGGCAGAUGGAGGAACUAA
rnacentral:lncRNA from 1 species